rnacentral:rRNA from 1 species
AACGUAGGUGGCAAGCGUUAUCCGGAAUUACUGGGCGUAAAGGGUGUGCAGGCGGGGGAGGAAGUGGGGUAUGAAAUCUUCCAGCUUAAAUGGGAUAGGGUAUGCCAGACUGCUUUUCUAGAGGACGAGAGAGGGGGGUGGAAUUCCGGGUGUAGUGGUGAAAUGCGUAGAGAUCCGGAGGAACCCCAGAGGCGAAGGCGGCCCCCUGGCUCGUACCUGACGCUCAGCCACGAAAGCAUGGGGAGCGAACGGG